rnacentral:lncRNA from 1 species
GGGGAAGGCAGCCCUGUCCUCCCUGCCAGGCCUCCAGGAAGGCUGUGGGCGCGGUGGCCCUGGGCUGGGUCAGGGAUCUGCAGAGAGUCACCCGGGCCGUCCCGGGGCGGGCGGCCACACAAUGGCAGGAAGCCAGGCCUCCGCUUGGUCUGGGGCACAGACCGCGGCUUCCUCCAGCGAAAUGGGGACUGGGCCCGGCGUCUCUGCCCGCCCAGCAGCCUCCGGGCUGGGCCCUAGGCCACUCUCCCUGGACCCGGAGCCCUUCGGGGCUCAGGGCAGCAGAGACCAGGAUUUGCUCGGAUCCAGGGCCCGGCCUUCCUGAUGCCCUGAUGUCCCCGGCCUAGGCUGCAUCAGCAAUAGAGGCGGCUGAAGCCAGGGUGGUGUCCAGCAGCGGCAGCACGGGGCUGGGAGAUGAG